rnacentral:snRNA from 1 species
CUGCUUCAGCAGCAUGUACACUAAAAAUUGAAAGGAUAUAGAGAAGAGUAACAUGGCCCCUGAAUGAAUGACACAAAUUCAUGAAGUGUUCCCUAAUUUU